CGGUGGAUCCCGGAAACCACGAGCGCGAAGGCUGCCGGGAGCUGAGCUGCCGACGCGCUGUGUUGCACGGCCUCUAGUUAAAAGCAUUAGUUGGUCAGUCACUUUUAUUUUAUUUUAUUUUUUUGGUACUGGGGAUCGAACUCGGGUCCUUGAGCUUGCGCAGCAGGCGGCGAAACCACUGAGCCAAAUCCCCGGCCCAAGUCACUUUUAAAAACUCAAGCAUGCUCAACUGUCUGGCACUUUGCAUUUGCUAAUACGACAUCCAGAGCCUCAAAAAAAGGAUGAUGUACUGGGAAUCGAACUCGGGUCCUUGUGCUUGCACAGCAGGCGGCAAAACCACUGAGCUAAAUCCCUGGCCCAGGAUUCCUCUUAAUAAUCCCUUGUAUUAAGUGAUUUGCCCUGUAAACAGCACCUAAUUUCCACACACACAAGCUCCCUUGUGCCCCAGCCUCUGCCCACAAACAGAUGGUCCACCUGACUCACAGGCUUCAUCAUGAUGGAAGACAAAAGGAAGAAGAAAGAGCCUCAUAUAGGCAGCUGUACCACCACAGGUCCUCUCAUCACCAUCACACAAAGUAAAGACCUUGAAACACA